GGCCUCUCUCUGUGGGGUGAUCGAUCAUGUGGCCCCCAGAUUGAUCGCCCCACAGAGGGAGGCC
rfam:Myotis brandtii contig309995, whole genome shotgun sequence.